UACACUCCUACGGGAGGCAGCAGUGGGGAAUUUUGGACAAUGGGCGAAAGCCUGAUCCAGCCAUGCCGCGUGCAGGAUGAAGGCCUUCGGGUUGUAAACUGCUUUUGUACGGAACGAAACGGCCUUUUCUAAUAAAGAGGGCUAAUGACGGUACCGUAAGAAUAAGCACCGGCUAACUACGUGCCAGCAGCCGCGGUAAUACGUAGGGUGCAAGCGUUAAUCGGAAUUACUGGGCGUAAAGCGUGCGCAGGCGGUUAUGUAAGACAGUUGUGAAAUCCCCGGGCUCAACCUGGGAACUGCAUCUGUGACUGCAUAGCUAGAGUACGGUAGAGGGGGAUGGAAUUCCGCGUGUAGGAGUGAAAUGCGUAGAUAUGCGGAGGAACACCGAUGGCGAAGGCAAUCCCCUGGACCUGUACUGACGCUCAUGCACGAAAGCGUGGGGAGCAAACAGGAUUAGAAACCCCUGUAGUCCCA
rnacentral:rRNA from 1 species